AAGGAUCACAUCUUUAUACUUUUAACCAAAUGAUUAUUUCUGUGAUUGUCUUUGCAGCUGGGCUCUGCAUGGUGUGGCUCAUUGAUCUCAUACCUUAGUAUUCGCUUCUGCGGGUUUGUGCAGCAGUCCACAGUUGUCGAGGAAGGAAGAAAAGUACAGCCUUAAGUUGAAGAAGGACAUGUUUGCUUCCCUUUCUGCCGAGAUUAUAAGUUUCCUGAGGCCUCCCCAGCCAAGUGGAACUGUGAGUCAACUAAAUCUCUUUUCUAUAUAAAUUAUCCAGUCUUGGGCAAUUAUUUGUAGCAGCACGAGAAUGGAUUAAUACAGUAAAUUGGUACUGCAGCGAGUAGGGUGCUGCUGUGAAAAAUACCCCAAAAUGUGGAAGCAACUUUGGAAGUGGGUAACAGGUAGAGGUUGGAACAGUAUGGACGGCUCAGAAGAAGGGAAAUAAUGUGGAAAAGUUUGGAACUUCCUAGAGACAUGGAGGGCCCAGAAGACAGAAAGAUGUGGGAAAGUUUGGAAUUACUUAGAGACUU
rnacentral:lncRNA from 13 species